AGCCUCGGGCGCGUGCUUUCUUUUGGGAAUCCAGUGGCGGCCGUGGGCGUUUGUCUGUGCGGAUGCUGUGAGUCCACGUUAGGGGAGGAUCUGGGCCCCGAAUGGGGCUGAGGGGUCCUCCAGGGCCAUCUUCCGCCGGGGCUCCGCCUCUGUCUUCAGCGUUGUACGCGUUCCUUGCUCCGCCCCCCCCCACCCGUCCCUUUCUGUUGGGAAGGUGCAACUCCAGACCGACUUCUCUCCGCAGGUCGGUCGGUGACGUGUUUGGAGACCGUGGACGUAAAUGAACGUCAGCCCGGGGCCUGGUGGUAAGGCGGGAGUCCACGUCCGUAUCUGCGGCGCUUAACAAUAAAGCAGGGGUGGCUCCUGCCGAGGGCUGAAGAAGGCUCUAGUGCUCCCUACCCAACUGGCAAACCUCUUCUUAAUCUCCCCCGUCCUCCAAAAACAGAAGCCCCACAGACCCUGGGGGUGCGGAAGGCAGCAUAUGGGAAAUGCUCAAACACCUUAUGUUCUAUGAAAUCCACGUGAGCGUUGCCAUGGAGACGGCAGAGAGGAACUGUAGCAGCUCCCCCCAGAAGACAGAAGAGAGAGUCACCCCAGGAAGCAGCUGAUGUCAGAGGUGUGCUCGCCGCUCCCCCCAGUGCCCAGGUGCACAGGGGCCACGCUGAGCCCCUGCUCCCUCCUGCUUCCGCGAGGCUGAGAGGAGACACCCUGCCUGCGGCACUCGGCACUCACCUGGGUUGCACCGAGGCUCUCCCGGACAGGACAGGUGGUGAGGGGUGGGUGUCCGCCCGUUGGGGCAGGGACUAUUGUGUGAGGGCUGGAGCAGUGGGUGGUUUCCCUGCAAGCCUGACUGCCCUCUGGCAUCCCUUCCCCUCGUGGCUCAAGUACUCAGACCUGAGUGCUCUUGGCGGUCUGUCUCAGGAUGCAAAAUGUGCCUGAGCCCCGCGGGCUGCUGCUCGGUCCGACUCUGCACUCAGGCCCCAGACAGGUGAGACCUCUGUCUGGAGGAGCACAGGACAGCCCCCCACUCCAGGCUCUCCGGGAAACCUUUGAGUGCUGUGCUGGGAAGGCAGAGGUAUAAAGGAAUAAAACGGAUACCUGUGUAGCCAUGACAACCGCAGCAGUCCGAGCACCGGCUGCGCCUGUUGUGGGCCAGUGAUGCACUCGCCUUGUCUCUCCUUUUUUCCUUAAUUAUGAAAGUGAUCUGUGACUUUCGCCCAUGAGAAAUAAAACUGCUUGGGGCUCC